AUUUCUUCUUCAAUGGCGGAUCAAGAGGAAGAGGACUUGAGAAUGGCUUUAAGGAUGAGUAUGCAAAACUCACCUCCAGAACCUAAGCGAAGCAAGCCUAGGGACCUCGCCGGUGCCCCGGUGGCUUCGCCAGAGGAAUCCCGGCGGCAACAGCGAGAGCUUAGGGCGGCGGCAGCUGAGAAGCGGGUGGGUNUGAGGCGAAAAUCGCCUCGCCUUCGAAAGCCACCGAUAGAAGCCCAGGUAAGAGCAAGGAUGUUGGUAAAAAAAAAGGAGGAUUUUGGCGCGAAGGAGGGUAAUAGGGGGAAAGAACCAUCCGGCGAGGAGGCGAAUCAGUUGUUCUCAAUGGUGUUUGGGAGUGUUGUUUCGAAGGACAUUCUAGCACAAUGGAGUAAUCAGGGCUAAAGGUUUAGCCCUGAUCCAGAAACAUCUAUGGGCCUAGUGCAGCAUGAAGGUGGUCCCUGCGGCGUCUUGGCAACCAUACAAGCAUUUGUUCUCAAAUACCUUCUUUUCUUUCCAGAUGAAUUGGGUAAAUUUGCACCAAACAUGCCACAGAAUUUGGGUUCCGGAAGACUGACUAAAAGUCGAUAUGUUGCAUCGAAUAAUUUUACUUCUCCAACUGAAGAUACAAAAGCAAGAGCCCUGGUCAGAAGUAUGUGUGAGAUAUUGUUUCUAUGUGGAAGUAAUGAGAGGGCUGUGAUUGCUACUUUGAAAGCUAUUGGCUGUGACACUGAGGGAUCUGCAAAAGAUGAGACCAUUGCACAAGCGCUUGAGGAUCUUUCAAUUGAAUCAGCAUCUGAUUUGCAUAAAAUUCUAAGAAUUGAAACACACACAUCACAAGCAAGCGUGAUGCAGAGGCUCCAAGUGAUGAUUCCUGUCUUCCAAUCUCGUAUGGGGGCCCUGCUAUUCCUUAUCUCUGCACUACUGUCUAGAGGAUUGGAUACAGUUCAAGCUGACAGGGAUGAUCCAAGCCUUCCUUUGGUCACUGCACCUUUUGGACAUGCCUCUCAGGAAAUUGUGAAUCUACUGCUCUGUGGCCAGGCUGUUCCUAAUGUGUUUGAUGGUAGAAUGGACUUAGGUGGUGGCAUGUGUCUAAAGGGCAUAUCCACAAGUGUGGAAGUUGGAUUUCUUACUCUGUUGGAAUCCCUGAAUUUCUGUAAGGUUGGCCAACAUCUAAAAUGCCCUAAAUGGCCUAUAUGGGUUGUUGGAAGUGAGUCUCACUAUACUGUUCUAUUUGCUCUUGAUACCACUGUUCAAGAUGAGAAUGAGCUGGAAGA
rnacentral:misc_RNA from 1 species